UGUUUAACCUUCUCUUCAGAUCUAAAUAUCCCUUCUGGUCUUCUCUGUACAACUAGCUCAGUAGCUAUACAUCCCUUUCAUCUGUUUUCUAAAGGAGAGCUUUCCUUUCUCUACUGAUUAUGACUCACAGUUCUGGUGAGUAUUGUAGUCUGGGCUGGCCCCUGUGGUCUUUCAUAACUCAUAGAACACUAGCCCAACCUUUUUGUCUUUCACUGUCUCCAUUCAAAAGUUGGCUGUUAUUCUGAUGAGUCUACCUUUGUAUGAGACUUGUUCUUUUUUUUUCCUGCAGCUUUUAAUAUCCUUUGUGUGUUUUGUACAUUUAUAGUUUCGAUUAUUAUAUGAUGUGGGGAGUUUCUCUACCUAGAGAAAAAAGGCAGGUGUAAGACAUGUGAACCUUGUGGCAUAGGUGGGUCUCAGGGGUGGGUGUAGUUACUGGUGUUUAGUGUUCCUCCCUGGAGGGGAGUUGUCCUCAGGUCAAAAGGAUUGGUGGAGUUUAUGGCACAAGUUCGUUCUUUCUGUCUGGAGAAGAAGUCAACAAGAAGCCAAAAGCUCUAUGACGAGACAGCUCUGCUCUUCCUGGGAACCUCUUACCUUGAUUUAUUUUCUAUUGCUGGAAUAAGAUACCAUGGCCAAGGUGACUUAUAAAACAGAGUGUUGAGCUUAUGAUUUCAGAAGAUCAGAGUCCAUCAUGUCAGAGCAAAGGCAUGGCAGCAGGAACAGCUGAGAGCUCACUUUUUGAUCUGCAAGUAAGAGGCAGAGAGAGAGAGAGAGAGCAUGU
rnacentral:lncRNA from 1 species